rnacentral:rRNA from 1 species
GAUGAACGCUGGCGGCGUGCCUAAUACAUGCAAGUCGAGCGAAUGGAUUAAGAGCUUGCUCUUAUGAAGUUAGCGGCGGACGGGUGAGUAACACGUGGGUAACCUGCCCAUAAGACUGGGAUAACUCCGGGAAACCGGGGCUAAUACCGGAUAACAUUUUGAACCGCAUGGUUCGAAAUUGAAAGGCGGCUUCGGCUGUCACUUAUGGAUGGACCCGCGUCGCAUUAGCUAGUUGGUGAGGUAACGGCUCACCAAGGCAACGAUGCGUAGCCGAACUGAGAGGGGGAUCGGCCAAACUGGGACUGGGCCCCGACCCAGACUCCUACGGGAGGCAGCAGUAGGGAAUCUUCCGCAAUGGACGAAAGUCUGACGGAGCAACGCCGCGUGAGUGAUGAAGGCUUUCGGGUCGUAAAACUCUGUUGUUAGGGAAGAACAAGUGCUAGUUGAAUAAGCUGGCACCUUGACGGUACCUAACCAGAAAGCCACGGCUAACUACGUGCCAGCCGCCGCUGUAA